UUAACUCAAUCUAAGAAUUUUUAUUUUUUUCUUAAACUCAGAUAAUUUCAAUUAGGAAUUAAGCCAUUUUUUCCCCACCUAAAUGUAAGUAGAAUUCCAAGUUCCUCCACUUGUGGUGUAGCAACACAACAUCUGAAACUUGCAUGACCUAUAUGGGGACCACACACUGUUCUGUGCUCAGGUAAAUGAGGUAUGCAUUCUGUAUCCAACUGAAGACAACUAAGCAUGUUCAACUAUUUGUGGAAGAUGAAUGGCUCUUGGGAGAUUUCAGCUGAGGUGAACCUUGCUCCUGCCCCGGCCUGUCCUUUCCUUUGGAAGACAUUUGCCCUUGAAGAGGUACUUCGCCUGCAAAGCCCGAACUCUUUAUGGUCAUCAGCAUCACAGUUCAGGCCUGUCUCACAUUUGGCAAACAAGCUUCUUUGAUGGGCAAGAGAACUCAAGCAUCCCUUUCCCUGCUGCCCCUCCUCCCUGUAUGCAGCUUUAUCUUGACAGAGAAAAAGUUCAGAAGAUACUGGAAAGGCUAUUCUUAACCUCAGAAGUAGUGUCUAAUUGGACCCGGAAUGCCAACCCACCACCUAUGCUGUGAACCUUCCACAAAAUCUUUCCAUUAAGUCUUGGUUCGCUCAUUGAAUAAUUUGCUGUCAGCUGUCAUCUCAGUUCUUGUCUGCUGAAACAGUGGCUUUUAUCCUGCGGUAUAUCAUGAAUACCUUGAAAAUCUGAUUAGAUGCACUUACUCAACAUGUAUACACCUAACUGAUUCCACCUGGUCGGGUGGUUUUAGACCCAACUUGAGAAGCUGCUGGAAAACUGAAGCUAGGAGUGGUUUCCUGCUCUCCAUCCUCACUGUGAGGAUCUGCACAGCCCUCCACCUUUCACACCUCAAAUCAGUCUCCUGGCCUCUUCUCCAGAUACUACCAGAUACUCUAACAUCCUAAGCUCCUCGUGUUUUCCAGCACUGAGACCCAUGAGCAGAAAACCAGCCCUUCGGGACCACGGACACGGCCUGUCAGCAGCUGCUCCGUUUCGCCUACACCGAGCGCCCACCCCGUCCCUCUGAACACGUGCACGUCAAUGCUAUGGCUGUCCCGGAACCCCCUCUUACCACCCCCUAGUCAUUCUAUGUCCCAGCUGAAGACUGUACCCCCCUGAGAGGCCUUCCCGGGAAUCACUCCCUCCCCGCAAGGCUCUGUCACGGCCCUGAGCUGCAUUUUGUGUGCGCAUGACUGUCUCCUGGCCAGGGCUCUUUCCAGCAUUCUGUUCUCAGGCCGGGCAGACUGUAGGCGGACAGGGAUUAUGUGCUGAAGGGAGCGAACUGACACAUACAGCAAGACUGUCCCCACACCACAGUCAUCACUGGAGAUACAGCUUUAAAGGCUAAAAGGCACCCACACGCUGCAUCUCUUUGCCCUCACAGUGUCUGUGCUGAGGGCUUGCAAAGCCAUUUCAAGGUAUGUGUGAAAGUACAUAACCUUUUCUAAAGCCUCUCACCUCAUUAAUUUAUAUCUGGAAAUGAAGGCUUUGCCACAGUCUGGCUGCAAGCACUUGAAAGGUCGCUCCCUGGAGUGGGAAUAAUUGUGGAUAGUGAACUUCUCCAGGGUGAGGAACGUCUUGCCACAUAAUUGGCAGGGGUAGGUGGCCAUGGGCUUUGCUUCUCACACUUUCCUUUUCAGAUGCGCUGACCAAGAGCUGUGCCAUUUAAGCACAAAUGCAAGGAUGGUGCUGAGCGCAUCAGCAGAGCCAGGGCAGCUUAACUCCAGGGGAGAGGCAGCGUCGUGGUUCUGGGCCUGCUUCUACACACACACGGGCCUCUCAGUGACCACUAGCUCGGCUUCCUGCUUUCCCACAUCCCAAUUUCUAUGCAGUCUCAAGCUGAGAGAAGAAAGUCUGAGGCACAGAUGAGAUUCCAGGAACAGAAAGGUAAUCUGCAUCACUAGAGCUGGGACAUGUCCCGGGUCACCAGACUGUCUGUGGAGAGAAGAGGAACAGUUUUCUUGCAUUAGCCAUGGGAAAACAAUGCCUUUCCUCCCCCACCAGUUCAGAAUCCACACGUUUCUUUAAGUGACUCUAAGGCUGCACAGUUCUCCAGCUUUCCCAUGUGCUUUUUAAGAGGCCCUCCUGCAUACGAA